rnacentral:rRNA from 1 species
UACGUAGGCAGCGAGCGUUGUUCGGAGUUACUGGGCGUAAAGGGUGUGUAGGCGGUUGUUUAAGUUUGGUGUGAAAUCUCCCGGCUCAACUGGGAGGGUGCGCCGAAUACUGAAUGACUAGAGUGUGGGAGAGGUGAGUGGAAUUCCUGGUGUAGCGGUGAAAUGCGUAGAUAUCGAGAGGGACACCUGCGGCGAAGGCGGUAGCUGGGCCGACACUGACGCUGAUGCGCGAAGCCAGGGAGC